rnacentral:rRNA from 1 species
AACGUAGGGGACAAGCGUUAUCCGGAUUUACUGGGGCGUAAAGCGCCCGUAGGCGGCCUGACAAGUUGGACGUGAAAGCUCCUGGCUUAACUGGGAGAGGCCGUUCAAAACUGUCAAGCUAGAGUCUGGAAGAGGAGAGCGGAAUUCCCGGUGUAGUGGUGGAAUGCGUAGAUAUCCGGAAGAACACCUGAGGCGAAGGCGGCUUGCUGGGCAUGAUCUGACGCUGAGGCGCGAAAGCGUGGGGAGCAAACAGG